rnacentral:rRNA from 1 species
UACGUAGGUGGCAAGCGUUGUCCGGAUUUAUUGGGUUUAAAGGGUGCGUAGGCGGUUCUUUAAGUCAGCAGUGAAAUCCCCCGGCUCAACCGGGGAGGUGCUGAUGAUACUGGAGGACUUGAGUACUGAUGAGGUAGGCGGAAUGGACGGUGUAGCGGUGAAAUGCUUAGAGAUCGUCCAGAACACCGAUAGCGAAGGCAGCUUACUAAGGAGUAACUGACGCUGAGGCACGAAAGUGUGGGGAUCAAACAGG